rnacentral:rRNA from 1 species
CAGCAGCCGCGGGAAUACGGAGGGUGCAAGCGUUAAUCGGAAUUACUGGGCGUAAAGCGCACGCAGGCGGUUUGUUAAGUCAGAUGCGAAAUCCCCGAGCUUAACUUGGGAACUGCAUUUGAAACUGGCAAGCUAGAGUCUUGUAGAGGGGGGUAGAAUUCCAGGUGUAGCGGUGAAAUGCGUAGAGAUCUGGAGGAAUACCGGUGCGAAGGCGGCCCCCUGGACAAAGACUGACGCUCAGGUGCGAAAGCGUGGGGAGCAAACAGGAUUAGAUACCCCGGUAGUCCCUGUCUCUUAUACC